UCCGCCUAAAAUAAAUAAUAACUUUUGUACAACAGAUACACGUGGAAGAAGGGACAAGGGAAAUGAAAGCGGUUCCUUCGUCGAGUGUAUUGAUUUAUGAGUCAAAUUUAUGUGAUGGCCAGCACCAAAUGGCGUUUCCAAAUUGGAAAUUUUACAUGUUGUAGCUAAUAUAGGAGGUAUUUAAAUAUAAUAACUACACUUAAAAUAAAUUACAAUUAGUAUCUAUAUGGUGUAUUUCAAUUGCCCCUCAUAGCUAUGUUGUAUUCAAGUAUGCAAAAACUCAUAUUUCAAAAGAUACGAAGACGUCUUCCUCUCCCCUCCAUCAUCUUUGGCUGCCAUCGUAGAUCCAUGAUCACCAUAUUUGGGCUAAGCAUUCUAAAAGCUUCAAUAGCUUCAGGGCACUGAAGCGCAACUUCUUCACCUUCGUUGAGUGAUUUUCGAGCGAGAUUAGCUUUUGAGAGAACUUCUUCACCCACGUUCGACCUGAUUCUGGCAACAUGCUUCUUCUUCAGGUUGUUUCUCUUUGGGUCCAAAAGCUUCGAGAAAUACGUCAUCAUAACCAACUGGGAGAGAAGGGUUAGAGGGAUUGGAGAAAGAAAGAGAAGUGAAUUUAGAAGAAUGGGGUUUGAGAAAAGGGUAAGAGUGGAAGGGUUAGAGGGCUUGGAGGGAUUAAAGAAAGAAAGAAAGAGAAGUGAAUUUAGAAAAAUAGGGUUUAAGGAGGGUUUUAGGAGAUGUGAAUGUGAAGAAGAAAGAAUUACUUUGAAGAGUUUACUUUUUCGAAGGGAUAACAGGAGAUUGGAAUUCAUGGCUUCUUCUCCUUUUUGUAUCUCAGCUUUGAGUGUAUUUGUUUAAAUUUUAGAGGAACUUUUACAUCUUUGGCCGGGAUCCAUGGCUUCUUCUCCUUCUUCUAUCUCAGAUUUGAGUGUAUUCCUCAAUUUUUAAGUGUAAAUAUAAGGUAUGAAUUUGACUGACUAUAUUUUUUGGGCAAACUAGAUGUAUUCUUAAAUGGAUUUGAGUGUA